rnacentral:rRNA from 1 species
GACGAACGCUGGCGGCGGGCUUAACACAUGCAAGUCGAACGGAAAGGCCCUGCUUUUGUGGGGUGCUCGAGUGGCGAACGGGUGAGUAACACGUGAGUAACCUGCCCUUGACUUUGGGAUAACUUCAGGAAACUGGGGCUAAUACCGGAUCGGAGCGCCUGCUGCAUGGUGGGGGUGGGAAAGUGUCGGCGGGUGGGGAUGGACUCGCGGCUUAUCAUCUUGCUGGUGGGGUAGUGGCUUACCAAGGCUUUGACGGGUAGCCGGCCUGAGAGGGUGACCGGCCACAUUGGGACUGAGAUACGGCCCAGACUCCUACGGGAGGCAGCAGUGGCGAAUAUUGCACAAUGGGCGGAAGCCUGAUGCAGCAACGCCGCGUGCGGGAUGACGGCCUUCGGGUUGUAAACCGCUUUCGCCUGUGACGAAGCGUGAGUGACGGUAAUGGGUAAAGAAGCACCGGCUAACUACGUG